rnacentral:rRNA from 1 species
GGCGUGCUUACACAUGCAAGUCGCACGAGAACGCUUCAGCUUGCUGAAGUUAGUAAAGUGGCGCACGGGUGAGUAACGCGUGGGUAAUCUGCCCCCGAAUUUGGGAUAACAUUGCGAAAGCGAUGCUAAUACCGGAUAAUAUCUUUAAUACUUCGGUAGUUAAGAUCAAAGAUGGCCUCUACACGUAAGCUAUUAUUUGGGGAUGAGCCCGCGUACCAUUAGCUUGUUGGUAGGGUAAAGGCCUACCAAGGCAACGAUGGUUAGCUGGUCUGAGAGGAUGAUCAGCCACACUGGAACUGACACACGGUCCAGACUCCUACGGGAGGCAGCAGUGAGGAAUUUUGCGCAAUGGGGGAAACCCUGACGCAGCAACGCCGCGUGAGUGAUGAAGGCUUUCGGGUCGUAAAGCUCUGUCAAGUGGGAAGAACCCACAUGGUAAUAAUACUACCAUGUGCUGACGGUACCACUGAAGGAAGCACCGGCUAACUCCGUGCCAGCAGCCGCGGUAAUACGGGGGGUGCAAGCGUUAAUCGGAAUUACUGGGCGUAAAGCGCACGCAGGCGGUCUGUCAAGUCGGAUGUGAAAUCCCCGGGCUCAACCUGGGAACUGCAUUCGAAACUGGCAGGCUGGAGUCUUGUAGAGGGGGGGUAGAAUUCCAGGUGUAGCGGUGAAAUGCGUAGAGAUCUGGAGGAAUACCGGUGGCGAAGGCGGCCCCCUGGACAAAGACUGACGCUCAGGUGCGAAAGCGUGGGGAGCAAACAGGAUUAGAUACCCUGGUAGUCCACGCUGUAAACGAUGUCGACUUGGAGGUUGUUCCCUUGAGGAGUGGCUUCCGGAGCUAACGCGUUAAGUCGACCGCCUGGGGAGUACGGCCGCAAGGUUAAAACUCAAAUGAAUUGACGGGGGCCCGCACAAGCGGUGGAGCAUGUGGUUUAAUUCGAUGCAACGCGAAGAACCUUACCUACUCUUGACAUCCAGAGAACUUAGCAGAGAUGCUUUGGUGCCUUCGGGAACUCUGAGACAGGUGCUGCAUGGCUGUCGUCAGCUCGUGUUGUGAAAUGUUGGGUUAAGUCCCGCAACGAGCGCAACCCUUAUCCUUUGUUGCCAGCGAUUCGGUCGGGAACUCAAAGGAGACUGCCAGUGAUAAACUGGAGGAAGGUGGGGAUGACGUCAAGUCAUCAUGGCCCUUACGAGUAGGGCUACACACGUGCUACAAUGGCAUAUACAAAGAGAAGCGACCUCGCGAGAGCAAGCGGACCUCAUAAAGUAUGUCGUAGUCCGGAUUGGAGUCUGCAACUCGACUCCAUGAAGUCGGAAUCGCUAGUAAUCGUGGAUCAGAAUGCCACGGUGAAUACGUUCCCGGGCCUUGUACACACCGCCCGUCACACCAUGGGAGUGGGUUGCAAAAGAAGUAGGUAGCUUAACCUUCGGGAGGGCGCUUACCACUUUGUGAUUCAUGACUGGGGUGAGCC